rnacentral:rRNA from 1 species
UACGUAGGGUGCGAGCGUUAAUCGGAAUUACUGGGCGUAAAGCGUGCGCAGGCGGUUGUGCAAGACCGAUGUGAAAUCCCCGGGCUUAACCUGGGAAUGGCAUUGGUGACUGCACGGCUAGAGUGUGUCAGAGGGGGGUAGAAUUCCACGUGUAGCAGUGAAAUGCGUAGAGAUGUGGAGGAAUACCGAUGGCGAAGGCAGCCCCCUGGGAUAACACUGACGCUCAUGCACGAAAGCGUGGGGAGCAAACAGG